rnacentral:rRNA from 1 species
GUAGGGAAUCUUCCACAAUGGACGAAAGUCUGAUGGAGCAACGCCGCGUGAGCGAAGAAGGUUUUCGGAUCGUAAAGCUCUGUUGUGAGGGAAGAACAAGUACAGGAGUAACUGUCUGUACCUUGACGGUACCUCAUUAGAAAGCCACGGCUAACUACGUGCCAGCAGCCGCGGUAAUACGUAGGUGGCAAGCGUUGUCCGGAAUUAUUGGGCGUAAAGCGCGCGCAGGCGGCCUUUUAAGUCUGAUGUGAAAGCCCACGGCUUAACCGUGGAAGGUCAUUGGAAACUGGAAGGCUUGAGUACAGAAGAGGAAAGCGGAAUUCCACGUGUAGCGGUGAAAUGCGUAGAGAUGUGGAGGAACACCAGUGGCGAAGGCGGCUUUCUGGUCUGUAACUGACGCUGAGGCGCGAAAGCGUGGGGAGCAAACAGGA